GAUGAAGAACGUAGCGAAAUGCGAUAAGUAAUGUGAAUUGCAGAAUUCAGUGAAUCAUCGAAUCUUUGAACGCACCUUGCACCCUUUGGCAUUCCGAAGGGUAUGCUCGUUUGAGUGUCAUUGUACUCUCACACUUCCAAUCUUUGGAUUGGGAGCGGUGGACUUGGGUGUUGCUGCUUACUGUGGCUCACCUCAAAUCGAUUCGUGCACCUCUUGGUUGGACAUAGUACGGCGUGAUAAGUGUCUUCGCCGGCACCUCAGUAGAGGGUGGCUGAUCAGGAGCUCCGUGCUUCAAACCGUCCUCGGACAACAACUGACAACUUGACCUCAAAUCGAGUAGGACUACCCGCUGAACUUAAGCAUAUCAUAAGCGGAGGA
rnacentral:misc_RNA from 1 species